UUUUGUCACGAUAACAUCUGGAAAUAGUUUAUUUUUGUAAAUUAUGAAGUAAAUAAUCACAGAAUAGGUAAGAAAUAUAUGUUACCCUUAUCAGUAUCAUCACAUAUCUUCCUUUUUAGGAAUGACAAGACUAAUAAACCUUACACAUUGCCGUUAGGUGGUCGGGCAGUUGCGAUGUAAGGAAGGGCAGUCUUGUCUAACUUUUCAUUUUACCUUUUUUUCUGUGCAGGUGUAAAAUCUGCAAGCGGCAAGACACAAAAAUUGAAUAGGAUCGGAACUCCCAUAUCCGAAACAUUAUUACUGUGAGCAAUAAUUGAGUGUUAAAAAAAAAACCAGUGUCAUUUUCAUGAUGUUGUCCAUUGACACUGACAGAUUUAGGUUUUUGAAAUAGAGCCCCUUGUUUAGGGUAGUAAUGUUAUGUGAGUUCAUGGUCUAGUGGUUAAGACCAAUGGCUACAGUGCUGAAGGCCCCAAGUGAAAAUUACCCUUCUGAUGUACUGAUAUUUUUAGCACCCC
rnacentral:lncRNA from 1 species